CAGGCCUAACACAUGCAAGUCGAACGAACCGCGACUAGGUGCUUGCACUUGGUCAAGGUGAGUAGCGAACGGGUGAGUAACACGUGGGUAACCUACCUCAUAGUGGGGGAUAACAGUCGGAAACGACUGCUAAUACCGCAUAGGACAUGGGAUCACAUGAUUCUGUGAGGAAAGGUGGCGCAAGCUAUCGCUAAGAGAUGGACCCGCGGUGCAUUAGCUAGUUGGUAGGGUAACGGCCUACCAAGGCGAUGAUGCAUAGCCGACCUGAGAGGGUGAUCGGCCACAUUGGGACUGAGACACGGCCCAAACUCCUACGGGAGGCAGCAGUAGGGAAUCUUCCGCAAUGGACGCAAGUCUGACGGAGCAACGCCGCGUGAGUGAAGAAGGUCUUCGGAUCGUAAAGCUCUGUUGUUAGAGAAGAACAGCGCAUAGAGUAACUGCUAUGCGUGUGACGGUAUCUAACCAGAAAGCCACGGCUAACUACGUGCCAGCAGCCGCGGUAAUACGUAGGAGGCGAGCGUUGUCCGGAUUUAUUGGGCGUAAAGGGAGUGUAGGCGGUCUUUUAAGUCUGAUGUGAAAGCCCACGGCUCAACCGUGGAGGGUCAUUGGAAACUGGGAGACUUGAGUGCAGAAGAGGAGAGCGGAAUUCCAUGUGUAGCGGUGAAAUGCGUAGAUAUAUGGAGGAACACCAGUGGCGAAGGCGGCUCUCUGGUCUGUAACUGACGCUGAGGCUCGAAAGCGUGGGGAGCA
rnacentral:rRNA from 1 species